ACAAGAAGAAAGAAAA
rnacentral:sRNA from 1 species